ACGUCGGAAGUUGCGUCGAGUGAAAGUGUUCGACGAUAUUCGCAACGUAUUUCGCGUGGGGCCCGUAAGGAAAUCGAGAGGGUGAAAUAAUCGCUUUUGAUGAUCAGCCGACCUCCGAGGGUGGAAAAUCGUCGAGAAUUUUUAUACAUUGCGUCCAUCAGGUGGAUGCGAAGUCGUUUUUUUCACGAUAUCAGAAGAUCGCAGGGUGUACCGCAAAACAGUGGUAAUCGGUGAGAAGAAUUUUUCCCGCUGCCAAGAAUUCGAGCUAGCGAAUCAUCGUCUGCAUCUGCAGACGAAUCGUCGUCGUCUUCGACUUUGUGACCAGGAAGUUUGGGGUAAAAAUCUACGACCCUAUUGGAAUUCAUCCGCAUCUGAAGCACGUCGUCGUGUUAUAGAGUUCACGGGUUCUCGGGGAGAAGACCGUACGAAACAUUCGAAAAAUUCAACGACAUCCAGAAACGUCAGGACGGAAAACUGGCAAUAACUGCAAAACUGUGACAACGAGACGGCGACGUCGCGACGCCGCCCCAGCUCGUCUUCGCGCCGAUCGUUUUCAUCCGAAGUGGCCUUCAAUCAGUUACCACGGCGGCUAAUUCGUCGCAGUACUCAUUCAACUUCCAACCACGAAGGGCGGGAGUUAUACAUGGCAUCGUUUAAUUCAUUCACAGGUAUCCAAAGAUGCUGCCGCCGUAGCUGCUGUUUGACCGGACUCCCCCUGUUCAUCAGGGGGAGUCCACCGUCCCCUGGGACUGCGCGGCCUCCCACC